UACAGAGGGUGCGAGCGUUAAUCGGAGUUACUGGGCGUAAAGGGUGCGUAGGCGGUACGGUGUGAGAGAUGUGAAAGCCCCGGGCUUAACCUGGGAAGAGCAUCUUUAACUACCGAACUAGAGUACAGCAGAGGGUGGCGGAAUUUCCGGUGUAGCGGUGAAAUGCGUAGAGAUCGGAAGGAACGCCGGUGGCGAAGGUGGCCACCUGGGCUGAUACUGACGCUGAGGCACGAAAGCGUGGGGAGCGAACAGG
rnacentral:rRNA from 1 species